AUGGCGGCGGCGGCGGCGUCGGCGGCGAGGCGCGCCGCCACCGGCCUCUUCCCGCUGCUCCUCUCCUCGCAUUCCCGAGCCCUCCCGCGCCACGGAGAUCUCCUAGCACUGCCCUCCCUCGUUCGCCCCCGCCGCCUCCCUUCUCACCCCGCCAAGCUCUUCUUCUGCUCCGCCGCCGCCUCCUCCAAUGGUGCGGCCCCAGAGAAGGCCCGGGACAUGCACCUGUACAACACGAGGUCGAGGAGAAGGGAGCCGUUCCGUCCCCGCGCGCCCGGCGGGGAGGUCGGCAUGUACGUCUGCGGCGUCACGCCCUACGACGACAGUCACAUCGGCCACGCCCGCGCCUACGUCGCCUUCGAUGUCCUCUUCAGGUACUUGCGUUAUUUGGACUAUGAAGUAUGCUAUGUUCGGAACUUUACUGACAUCGAUGACAAGAUAAUUGCAAGAGCUAACCAAUUGGGGGAAGAUCCUUUUAGCUUAAGCAAAAGAUACUCUGAUGAUUUCCUGUCGGACAUGGCUCAUCUUCAAUGUCUACCACCAUCUGUGGAGCCCCGUGUUUCAGAUCACAUUGAUCAGAUUGUAACCAUGAUAAAACAGAUUAUCGAUAACGGUUGUGCAUAUGUAGUAAGUGGGGAUGUCUAUUUCUCUGUUGACAAUUUUCCUGAAUAUGGGAAGUUAUCGGGUCGAAAACUAGAUGAUAAUAGAGCUGGUGAAAGGGUUGCAGUUGACGAGAGAAAGAAAAACCCAGCUGAUUUUGCUUUAUGGAAGGCUGCAAAAGAUGGGGAACCAUGGUGGGAUAGCCCUUGGGGCCCGGGUAGGCCAGGAUGGCACAUCGAAUGCAGUGCCAUGAGUGCACAAUACUUGGGCAAUUCUUUUGACAUUCAUGGUGGCGGGGAGGACCUGAUAUUUCCACAUCAUGAGAAUGAAAUCGCUCAAAGCCGUGCCGCAUGUUGUGACAGCAGCAUAAAUUAUUGGGUGCACAAUGGUUUUGUCAAUGUAAAUGGCCAGAAAAUGUCUAAAUCGCUUGGUAACUUUAUCACUAUACGCAAGGUCAUAGAGCUUUACCACCCACUUGCGUUGAGGAUGUUCUUACUUGGUACCCACUACAGGUCCCCAAUCAACUACACAGUAGAGCAGCUUAAUGUUGCAUCGGAUAGAUUGUACUACACUUAUCAGACAUUGCGCGAUUGUGAAGAAAGCACCCAGCAGGACCAAAGCAGUAGUGGAGGUUCACUACCUUUUACUACCACGCAUUGCGUCGAGAAGCUUCACGGGGAUUUUGAGACGUCAAUGUCUGACGAUCUUCACACUUCGGUGGCGCUGGCUGCUAUUUCCGAGCCGUUGAAAGUUAUGAAUGAUUUGCUGCAUACUCGUAAGGGAAAGAAGCAGGAGAAACGGCUGGAAUCGCUUGCGGUCUUGGAAGAGAAAGUGAGAAUGGUGCUUUCUGUCCUGGGGCUGAUGCCCUCGAGCUACCAUGAGGCUCUGCAGCAGCUGCGGGAGAAGGCGCUGCGGAGGGCGUGCGUCACCGAGGAGCAGGUGCUGCAGAAGAUCGAGGAGCGGACCGCUGCGAGGAAGGCGAAGCAGUUCGGUCGGUCGGACGAGAUCCGGGAUGAGCUGGCGGCCCUCGGCAUCGCCCUCAUGGACGGCCCCGACGGCACCGCCUGGAGGCCGUCCGUGCCGUCCUCCCAGCAAGCGGUGGUCACCAGCAGUACAUGA
rnacentral:rRNA from 1 species